ACUAAAACUGUAACGAUUAGAUUACAGAGACAGAGAAGACAAAGAAGAUUAGCAUGGCCCCUGUGCAAGGAUGACAUGCAAAUUCGUGAAUUAUUGCAUAUUUUU